GAGUCGUUGAUUUCACACUGCCGAGAAAAGCCUCUAGAUAGAAAAUAGGUGCCCGUACCGCAAACCGACACAGGUAGUCAAGAUGAGAAUUCUAAGGUGAGCGAGCGAACUCUCGUUAAGGAACUCGGCAAAAUGACCCCGUAACUUCGGGAGAAGGGGUGCUCUUUAGGGUUAACGCCCAGAAGAGCCGCAGUGAAUAGGCCCAAGCGACUGUUUAUCAAAAACACAGGUCUCUGCUAAACCGUAAGGUGAUGUAUAGGGGCUGACGCCUGCCCGGUGCUGGAAGGUUAAGAGGAGUGGUUAGCUUCUGCGAAGCUACGAAUCGAAGCCCCAGUAAACGGCGGCCGUAACUAUAACGGUCCUAAGGUAGCGAAAUUCCUUGUCGGGUAAGUUCCGACCCGCACGAAAGGCGUAACGAUUUGGGCACUGUCUCAACGAGAGACUCGGUGAAAUCAUAGUACCUGUGAAGAUGCAGGUUACCCGCGACAGGACGGAAAGACCCCGUGGAGCUUUACUGUAGCCUGAUAUUGAAAUUCGGCACAGCUUGUACAGGAUAGGUAGGAGCCUUUGAAACGUGAGCGCUAGCUUACGUGGAGGCGCUGGUGG
rnacentral:rRNA from 1 species